CCUUUACACUGGUUAAGAAUACCUCUCAAAAAAGUUUGGUUAAGGGAGUGACUGGACCAAAUCCUUGACUUAUGACCUUUCAAUUAUUAGUCAAAUAUAUACUUAUGUUAUCUAAGUAAAUGGUGCCCAUUUUUUCUUAGUCAUCCUUCUUUCACAGUUUUGUUCUGCUCGUUUUGAGCUUCACAUUAAUAGUAGACCUGAAUCUUCUCACUUUUUAGCAUAAGGUCAUUCAUUGAUUUCCUCACUUUUGCCCAAAGUCUAUGAAGAGGGAUAAAUUACUCCAUUUUGUUUUCUGCACGGAUGGGGGUGAAGGAUGGGGAAGCAUAGAAAGAGCAGAGUUCCUUUUUCUCUUGGUGAGUCCUACCUUCAACUAAUGAUUGAAAGCACAGAAAAGACUGUUAGAAUAAUUUGCAAUCAUUUACUGAACGGGACUCCUGACUUUCUGCUUUAUCUCCAUUUUCUUAAGAGCACCAGGCUUCUGCAUGGUUACAAGUUGAAUGCUAUUAAGCCAAGUACGACCCUUAUGGCUUUGUGUGUUUUCCCUGACAUAUGAAGAGAAUAAUUUUAUGCCGCCUUUUAACAUAAUUGUUCCUUUAAAUCUAAGACAUGUCUCCUAUUCU
rnacentral:lncRNA from 1 species